AAAUUGAAGAGUUUGAUCAUGGCUCAGAUUGAACGCUGGCGGCAGGCCUAACACAUGCAAGUCGAACGGUAACAGGAAGCAGCUUGCUGCUUUGCUGACGAGUGGCGGACGGGUGAGUAAUGUCUGGGAAACUGCCUGAUGGAGGGGGAUAACUACUGGAAACGGUGGCUAAUACCGCAUAACGUCGCAAGACCAAAGAGGGGGACCUUCGGGCCUCUUGCCAUCAGAUGUGCCCAGAUGGGAUUAGCUUGUUGGUGAGGUAACGGCUCACCAAGGCGACGAUCCCUAGCUGGUCUGAGAGGAUGACCAGCCACACUGGAACUGAGACACGGUCCAGACUCCUACGGGAGGCAGCAGUGGGGAAUAUUGCACAAUGGGCGCAAGCCUGAUGCAGCCAUGCCGCGUGUAUGAAGAAGGCCUUCGGGUUGUAAAGUACUUUCAGCGGGGAGGAAGGUGUUGUGGUUAAUAACCGCAGCAAUUGACGUUACCCGCAGAAGAAGCACCGGCUAACUCCGUGCCAGCAGCCGCGGUAAUACGGAGGGUGCAAGCGUUAAUCGGAAUUACUGGGCGUAAAGCGCACGCAGGCGGUCUGUCAAGUCGGAUGUGAAAUCCCCGGGCUCAACCUGGGAACUGCAUUCGAAACUGGCAGGCUUGAGUCUUGUAGAGGGGGGUAGAAUUCCAGGUGUAGCGGUGAAAUGCGUAGAGAUCUGGAGGAAUACCGGUGGCGAAGGCGGCCCCCUGGACAAAGACUGACGCUCAGGUGCGAAAGCGUGGGGAGCAAACAGGAUUAGAUACCCUGGUAGUCCACGCCGUAAACGAUGUCUACUUGGAGGUUGUGCCCUUGAGGCGUGGCUUCCGGAGCUAACGCGUUAAGUAGACCGCCUGGGGAGUACGGCCGCAAGGUUAAAACUCAAAUGAAUUGACGGGGGCCCGCACAAGCGGUGGAGCAUGUGGUUUAAUUCGAUGCAACGCGAAGAACCUUACCUGGUCUUGACAUCCACGGAAGUUUUCAGAGAUGAGAAUGUGCCUUCGGGAACCGUGAGACAGGUGCUGCAUGGCUGUCGUCAGCUCGUGUUGUGAAAUGUUGGGUUAAGUCCCGCAACGAGCGCAACCCUUAUCCUUUGUUGCCAGCGGUCCGGCCGGGAACUCAAAGGAGACUGCCAGUGAUAA
rnacentral:rRNA from 1 species